rnacentral:piRNA from 1 species
GCUGCCCGCAAGAGCGCGCCGGCCACGGGC